rnacentral:rRNA from 1 species
UACGGAGGGGGCUAGCGUUGUUCGGAAUUACUGGGCGUAAAGCGCACGUAGGCGGAUUUGUAAGUCAGGGGUGAAAUCCCGAGGCUCAACCUCGGAACUGCCUUUGAUACUGCAAAUCUCGAGUCCGGAAGAGGUGAGUGGAAUUCCUAGUGUAGAGGUGAAAUUCGUAGAUAUUAGGAAGAACACCAGUGGCGAAGGCGGCUCACUGGUCCGGUACUGACGCUGAGGUGCGAAAGCGUGGGGAGCAAACAGGG